rnacentral:lncRNA from 1 species
UAAAGUCGAUAUUGACUUUACAGUGUAAACAGAUAUUGGGUUUCCAUUAUAGUAUUUCGCAAUAUUGCAUCAGCCGGUUACGAUUAGUUUUAUCAAUACACAUAACAUUCUUUACUGUUUUAAGUAUUAUAACGAAAAAAGUGGAAUUUAAACAACUGAAAUGUAUUCAAGAAUUCUACAAAGAUAUUAUUAGCCAGACGAAUUACAACGUGAAAAAUCCAAGACUUUAUAAAGACAACGAACGUUUAACACAAAAUAUAUCACCGGAAGACUUCAAGAAAAGAAUGUUAACCAUAGCAUGGUUGAAUAUCAUAAUACUUUCAUGUUGUUAGAAUCACUCAACCGUAGGAGUAU